AGGAUAGGGCCCCCAUGGUGGCGCUGGUUUUUCUCCAAGCAGGCUGCCUGGAGACAUUAGGUAGAACCUAAGGAAGACAGAGGCCUCCUGGGGAAUUGGUAUCUGUCUAGCAUAAAACAGAAGGUGUCCGGACACCUCUGUGCUGACGCCGAUCUGAAGGACACCGCCCACUGGCUCCCCAUUCUCUCUGACCCUCCCUCCUCCCCUCCUCCUACAGUCCUCUGCUGAUGAAGCUGAAGAUCUUCCCACUCCAAGAAUCCUGGCCAUCCCUUCACCAGCAGGGAACUUCUUAGGCUUUAAGGCUCUGACCUGGACUCUAAGAUAAAUAUUUAAUGUAGAGGGUGCCACUGAGCUGCCGAAGGUCCCAACUUCCUGUUUCUCACAAGAGACGGCACAGUGUGGGCAAGGGAGCUGAGGACUGGCUACCAGUCCCAUCUCUAUGGGGAUGGGGAGUCCAGUAAACAGUCUUGGAGGAUGCAGGUUGGGAGGAAGGGGGAGGGUGGCAAUGGAGGGCUGAGCUGCUGCAGCUCUGCUUAUGCCACUCAGGCCGGGGCUGGCUCGCCACCUCUCAGGUUGGAGCCCACUGUGUUCACAAGUAUUCGGAGGCACGGGCGCUAGGACCACAGGGCAGAGGGAGUAGCCAAGAACACACAGACUCUUCUAGAGUCCGUAACCAACCCAUCAGUGAGGAGCUGAAGCCAAGUCACCAUAGAUAUACUAGCACAGAUCUCGACUCUGUUUCAUCCCUGGGGCCAUCUCCUGAUUCCAGACAUACUGACAGUGAAAACAGAAGAAUACUGGGAAAGCAGCUACAGUGCUUGAUGCGCUGACACAGAGGGACAAGGACAGAUCUCAGUGCUCAUGUCCUGAGGGCCUUCCAGAGAUGUUCACAAGUCUAAGGUCCUUUGCAGAUGGCUUGGUUCAUCUGGGGUUAGAAACUGAAAGCAAAGAAUCUGGUAACAACUGAAACUUUGAAAAUCUCCCUUAAACUUCUGAGGGGACUUUAAGCAACUCUAAGAAAACCCUCAGUAUCAUUAUUAUUUAAAAAGGUUUAUUGCAUUUACUCAUUUAUUUUGUUUGUUCCACAGUGUUGUGAAGGCCAGAGGAUGACUUUGUAAGUUGGUUUUCUUCUUCCUGGGGAUCAAACUUAAGUAACCAGGCUAAGCAACCUCACUAGCUCACCCUCAUUAUUACUUUUUGAAAGGAACUUUAUUAGAACAUAUGAAAAUGAACCCAGGAGUGGAGGCCCAGCGGGGCAGUAGAGGGCUUUCACAGCAUGUGCAAGGCAUGGGUUCAAUCUUAUGUCACACACACACACACACACACACACACACACACACUCCACAAUCACAGAGCUCAGAGGCCAAAAGGAAGUAAAUUAUUAUGGAAGCAGUUCUUAAAGGAUCUUAAAAAUCACUAGGUUUAGGCUGUUCUUUUGGAAGUUCAAGUUUCCCUCAUAAGAGAAGCAAUUUUAGCCAUUGAGAUUGGUACUGAGAAGAAAGGGGAAAAAUUGAAAGGCAUUUUUGAGUUAAGUCGU
rnacentral:lncRNA from 1 species